rnacentral:rRNA from 1 species
UACGAAGGGGGCUAGCGUUGCUCGGAAUCACUGGGCGUAAAGCGCACGUAGGCGGAUCGUUAAGUCGGAGGUGAAAUCCUGGAGCUCAACUCCAGAACUGCCUUCGAUACUGGCGAUCUUGGAGUCCGGGAGAGGUGAGUGGAACUCCGAGUGUAGAGGUGAAAUUCGUAGAUAUUCGGAAGAACACCAGUGGCGAAGGCGGCUCUCUAGUACGGUACUGACGCUGAGACGCGAAAGCGUGGGGAGCGAACAGG